CCAUAAACGGCGCCAUUCAGUCCUUCUCCCUUGCCCUUUGCCUCCUCUGUCGUUUUCUCUGCCGUCACCUUCGCCUUCAAGCCCAAAUCAUGUGGAAGAGAGGAGGAGGAGGAGGAGAGGAGUCUGUACCGAGAGAGGAAGACGAGAAUUUUGCAACGUGACCUGCACGACUGACGUCACAUUUUGGAUACUAUCGCUUCACAACAACAGCAAGAAAAAAGAAACGAGGAGAUGUUGGCGUACUUGGAGCGAGGAACUGUGUGCAGCAGCCAUCUCUGCCGUACGGCAGCUGCGGCGUUGGAGGGCGAUAGCCAGGGCCACGGCGCAUCACCAGGGCCACUUCUAACGCUUGGCAGUUGUACGCAUUCGCAUAGCCACCUUGGCGCCUUUCUCGUGCGCUCUGUACUCCGCCUUUGUUUCCCACUUUCGAUCGACUCUUUUCACUGCCUGGAGUGUAUCUAUGAAUCUAUGCGCAUGCCUUGAGCUGUGUGAGGGCACGUGAUGCACUUGGCGUGCAUGUGUGUGUAUGCAGAUGCGUCCUUGAAUGGAGCUUUCCUCACCUGCGCGGACUCCCUUUUCCCAUCCACUCUCGAAACAAAGGUCAGCAUAUGCGUGGCGCAGGGAUGCCAUUAGAGCGCAUCUCACCCUUUUCUGUGCCACAAGCGCUUGACGCCAUCGCUGCGACUCCCUCGUCCUUCCCUCCUCUCCGCUACCCCUCCUUCACACGCGGUCGCGCAG
rnacentral:misc_RNA from 1 species